UACAGAGGGUGCAAGCGUUGUUCGGAAUUAUUGGGCGUAAAGCGCGUGUAGGCGGCAGUGCAAGUCGGGUGUGAAAGCCCUCAGCUCAACUGAGGAAGUGCGCCCGAAACUGCGGGGCUGGAGUCCUGGAGAGGAAGGCGGAAUUCUCGGUGUAGAGGUGAAAUGCGUAGAGAUCGGGAGGAACACCAGUGGCGAAGGCGAUCAUCUGGGGCUGUUCUGACGCUGAGGAGCGAAAGCUAGGGGAGCAAACGGG
rnacentral:rRNA from 1 species